UCUUAAGGCUGAUGGCACUGCUGACAAAUGGGAACAGCUGCGAGAUAAGCUCUAUGCUUGGGACGUGGCAUUCAGAAAGGGCUUAUUUCGUGAUGCACAGAUAAGAAUGCAGUCUGGGGCUCUGGGAAAUGCUCUACGGGACAAGACCUCUGAGGCAGGGCUUCUGCUUUCUCUUACUCUCUCCUGCUUCAGAGCCUCAUCUUCCGCAGCAGCUAAUUGAACCUUCAGUGACUUCUUCCUGAAGAAGCCGGACUGCUUUCCUGAAACAUGGCUGCAGUCGGAACCCCAAGAGGAUCAGCGAGACAGCACAUGCCUGACCCCAUUUCCAAGUGUGGUUUAAGCAUUCUUCACAGUUCAUUGGCUCCCGGGACAUUGCCGCUCAACUCUCUACGCAGACAUGGAUGAUUCUUGAAGACGCUGCACUAAGUGAAAUAAGCCAGUCACAAAAGGGCAAAUACUAGGCUGGGGAUGUAGCUCAGCAGCACAAGAGCCUGCUUGGCAAGCACAAGGUCCUGAGUUUGAUUCCCCAUAUCAAAAAAUAGGACAAAUACUGUACCACUCCAAAUAGAUGAGGUACCCCGGAAUGGUCCAACUCAGGUUGCCAGAGGCAAGGGAAGGGGGAGAAUGGGAGGUGUUGCCUAAUGGGUAGAGAGUUUCAGUUUUACAAAAUAAAAAAGCUUUGGAGAUGGA